AUUGAACGCUGGCGGCAUGCCUUACACAUGCAAGUCGAACGGCAGCACGGGAGCAAUCCUGGUGGCGAGUGGCGAACGGGUGAGUAAUAUAUCGGAACGUGCCCAGUCGUGGGGGAUAACGCAGCGAAAGCUGUGCUAAUACCGCAUACGAUCUAUGGAUGAAAGCGGGGGAUCGCAAGACCUCGCGCGAUUGGAGUGGCCGAUAUCAGAUUAGGUAGUUGGUGGGGUAAAGGCUCACCGAGCCGACGAUCUGUAGCUGGUCUGAGAGGACGACCAGCCACACUGGAACUGAGACACGGUCCAGACUCCUACGGGAGGCAGCAGUGGGGAAUUUUGGACAAUGGGCGCAAGCCUGAUCCAGCAAUGCCGCGUGCAGGAUGAAGGCCUUCGGGUUGUAAACUGCUUUUGUACGGAGCGAAACGGUCUACUCUAAUACAGUGGGCUAAUGACGGUACCGUAAGAAUAAGCACCGGCUAACUACGUGCCAGCAGCCGCCGUAA
rnacentral:rRNA from 1 species